rnacentral:rRNA from 1 species
GUGGGGAAUAUUGGGCAAUGGGCGAAAGCCUGACCCAGCCACGCCGCGUGAGUGAUGAAGGCCUUCGGGUUGUAAAGCUCUGUGGGGAGGGAAGAAAAAGCGCAGGAGUAACUGCCUGUGUGUUGACGGUACCUCCUUAGCAAGCACCGGCUAACUCUGUGCCAGCAGCCGCGGUAAUACAGAGGGUGCAAACGUUGCUCGGAAUUACUGGGCGUAAAGCGCGUGUAGGCUGACAUGCAAGUCGGGUGUGAAAUCCCAGGGCUCAACCUUGGAACUGCACUCGAAACUGCACGUCUUGAGUACUGGAGAGGGAAGCGGAAUUCCGGGUGUAGAGGUGAAAUUCGUAGAUAUCCGGAGGAACACCAGUGGCGAAGGCGGCUUCCUGGACAGUAACUGACGCUGAGACGCGAAAGCGUGGGGAGCAAACAGGAUUAGAAACCCUAGUAGUCC